UACGGAGGGUGCAAGCGUUAUCCGGAUUCACUGGGUUUAAAGGGUGCGUAGGUGGGUUGGUAAGUCAGUGGUGAAAUCUCCGAGCUUAACUUGGAAACUGCCAUUGAUACUAUCAGUCUUGAAUAUAGUGGAGGUCAGCGGAAUAUGUCAUGUAGCGGUGAAAUGCUUAGAUAUGACAUAGAACACCAAUUGCGAAGGCAGCUGGCUACACAUAUAUUGACACUGAGGCACGAAAGCGUGGGGAUCAAACAGG
rnacentral:rRNA from 1 species